rnacentral:rRNA from 1 species
CCUACGGGUGGCUGCAGUGGGGAAUAUUGGACAAUGGGCGAAAGCCUGAUCCAGCCAUGCCGCGUGUGUGAAGAAGGCCUUCGGGUUGUAAAGCACUUUCAGUGGGGAAGAAAGCCUUGGGGCUAAUACCCUCGAGGAAGGACAUCACCCACAGAAGAAGCACCGGCUAACUCCGUGCCAGCAGCCGCGGUAAUACGGAGGGUGCGAGCGUUAAUCGGAAUUACUGGGCGUAAAGCGCGCGUAGGCGGGCUGAUACGCCGGUUGUGAAAGCCCCGGGCUCAACCUGGGAACGGCAUCCGGAACUGUCAGGCUAGAGUGCAGGAGAGGAAGGUAGAAUUCCCGGUGUAGCGGUGAAAUGCGUAGAGAUCGGGAGGAAUAGCAGUGGCGAAGGCGGCCGUCUGGACUGACACUGACGCUGAGGUGCGAAAGCGUGGGUAGCAAACAGGAUUAGAUACCCUGGUAC